AGUGCGGGCGUGGAUUACGGACUCGGUUUAACUUAUUAAUCAGCUAGAGCCAUUGGAGGCGGCUGGGCGCGUGGUGUGAGCCGUGUGUUCUGUCAGUUCAGCUGCUCGUAUGAAUCUGCCGGGCUGCGACAGACACAGGGCUUCUCUGCAGAGGGGAAACUAGCGCCGGCCCGGCCUUUUCCUGGCCCACCCACCCCCAGGUGAGACGGCAGAGUGAGUCCACCCUCUCCUCACGGGGAUCACAGCAGCACUCCUAACCACCCACGAGCGGAAUCAGCUGAGGGUCCACUGGUAGAGGGACGAGAACGCCAUCCCUGGAGCCGCCGAGCAGCAGUCAGCCAUGGCAAGGAGCGAGGUGCCACCCACACCAAACCUGUGACCUUGAAAACACCUGCCAGCCAAGGAAGCCGGGCACAAAGACCCCCGGUGAGCGGGCCCAUGGAGGACGUCCAGAACGGGCGAAUCUGCAGGCAGAAAGUGCAUGGGCGCUGGGGCGGGGGGAGAGAGCCGCAGCUACAGGGCGUGGGCUCUUCUUGAGAUAAUCAUGACGCCCUGUAACUGACGCGGCCAAGAGACGCACAAUGUGGGUGGCUGGAACCUCCGAUUGCACACUUUAAAGGACAAGUUGUGUGGUGUGCAAGUUAUAUCAAUAAAACUCGCAUGAAAAUACA